CAAUUUCCCCUAAUAGUAACAUCUUGCAUUAGUAUGGUACGUGUGUUACAACUGGUGAAUGAAUACAUUAUUAUUAACUAAAGUCACAUCUUACAUUAAGGUUCACUCUUUGUGUUGUUCAGUUCUAUGGGUUUUGUCAAAUGCAUAAAAAUCCACCAUUACUGUUUCAUACAGAAUAGUCUUACCGCCCUAAAAAUCCCCUGUGCUUUGCUUUUUCAUCCCUUUUUCACUCUCUCCUGGCAAGUACUGAUCUUUUUACUAUCUCUAUAGUUUUGCCUUUUCUAGAAUGUCAUAUAGUUGGAAUCAUAUAGUAUGUAGCCUUUUCAGACUGGCUUCUUUCAAAU
rnacentral:lncRNA from 10 species